rnacentral:tRNA from 3 species
GGAGAGAUGGCAGAGUGGUCGAAUGCGCCGGAUUCGAAAUCCGGUUUACAGCUUGCUGUAACGGGGGUUCGAAUCCCCCUCUCUCCGCCA